GACGGAGGGGGCAAGCGUUGUCCGGACUUACUGGGCGUAAAGGGCCCGUAGGCGGCCUGAUGCGUCGGUGCUGAAAGCGCCCCGCUUAACGGGGUGAGGCGUGCCGAUACGAUCAGGCUCGAGGCAGGCAGAGGGUGGCGGAAUUCCGGGUGUAGUGGUGAAAUGCGUAGAGAUCCGGAGGAACGCCUGUGGCGCAAGCGGCCACCUGGGCCUGACCUGACGCUGAGGGGCGAAAGCGUGGGGAGCAAACAGG
rnacentral:rRNA from 1 species